rnacentral:lncRNA from 1 species
UGACUGAACCAGAAGCCAGACAGUAAUUGCUCAUUUUGGUUUUUCCUGAAGCCUCGGGUCUCUUUAUGACCUAUGGCCAGGACCUGUUCAUAUCAAACUAUUUCUACUAUGCCACCUCAUAAAGAUUCCUCUGGCUCCAAGAAGUUCUGGCUCUACAUUCUCUAUGUUCAAGUCUAACCCAAAAAGAAAUGGAAGAGCUGAGAUGAUAAAGGAGAGCAGAUGAGACAGCCCAGAAAUGAGCAACAGGAGGAAAUCACUGCAAUGGCAGAGCGUGAAAGUUCAAAGGAGCCCAGAAGCCCGGGGCCAUCUGCGCUAAGAUAGGGCUAGGAGCCAGGCAGGCCAUGCGAUCUUCACCAGAGCUACAGCAUGAAGCAGAGGGAGAGGGACGCAUACCUGGCAAUUUCCUCUCUUCCAUUCUCCAAUCUUCCACCGGUGCCUUCCAUUGAAUAAUGCUGGCCAGGGCCAGCUAGCAGGGCAGCCUGUAAUAUUCAGCCUGUGGGAGGCAGGAAGCAGAGAUGGGAAGGGGCUCUGAACACAAAUAGCACUGUUAGUUAGGUUUUCGCCAUGAGCUCCAG